rnacentral:rRNA from 1 species
CCUACGGGUGGCAGCAGUGAGGAAUAUUGGUCAAUGGGAGGAAUCCUGAACCAGCCAUGCCGCGUGCAGGACGACGGCUCUAUGAGUUGUAAACUGCUUUUGUACCGGGUUAAACUGCUCUACGAGUAGGUUUUUGAAAGUACGGUACGAAUAAGGAUCGGCUAAUUCCGUGCCAGCAGCCGCGGUAAUACGGAAGAUCCGGGCGUUAUCCGGAUUCAUUGGGUUUAAAGGGUGCGUAGGUUGUUGUAUAAGUUAGCGGUGAAAUACCGAUGCUCAACAUCGGGGCUGCCGCGGAUACUGUAGGACUAGAGAUCGGAUGAGGCAGGCGGAAUGUGUAGUGUAGCGGUGAAAUGCAUAGAUAUUACACAGAACACCGAUUGCGAAGGCGACUAUCUGGAACAUAACUGACGCUGAGGAGCGAAAGCGUGGGUAGCAAACAGGAUUAGAUACCCUAGUAGUC